GCGAUGUAGCCAAUCAUAAUCAAGUUUAAUUUAACACAUAUACUUCUGAUAUUUCUUGAUAUAACAAGCUCACAUCUAGAUUGGAUAUUCAAUACACAAAAAAUACAAAAUCGAACACAAAAAUACGAAGUCCCAAAAAAAGAUCUUAGGACGCGAGUAAAUCUACAAUAGGCCACCACCUGCACGGUGGACUUCUUAAGCAAGUAAUUAUAUAUUGGGUGAAUAAUUACUCGGAUUAGCGCUAUUAAUGAUUAAUAAUGGUUCGAACCAAGGCAGGGAAACAUUAUCUAUGACGACCCCUUGUUUCGCAUCCAUCCGUUCAAGGGUAGAUGCUUAGCGGGAUAGGCUUUCUCACGUAUGAAAAAUUGAUCAAAUAGUUGAAAAGUGAUGGAAAAAGAAUUUAAAACCUGUUUCUUAUGUACGUUAAUACGGUUACCAAAAAUUUCUGCAGUUCACUAAUAAGUAACAGGGUCAAUCAGCUUAUGCGGCCUCUCUUAUUGCUGCCUAAUUUAAAUGUGGCCUCUAAUGGUAAAAAGGAUCCCCACCUCUGAUCUAGACUACACUUAUACCAGCGCAUCGUGGAGACAUUUCAUUAAAUUCUAAUAAAUUGUCAUUUUAGAAACGAUGAAAUU